GCGGCGUGCUUAACACAUGCAAGUCGAACGGAAAGGCCCUGCUUUUGUGGGGUGCUCGAGUGGCGAACGGGUGAGUAACACGUGAGUAACCUGCCCUUGACUUUGGGAUAACUUCAGGAAACUGGGGCUAAUACCGGAUAGGAGCUCCUGCUGCAUGGUGGGGGUUGGAAAGUUUCGGCGGUUGGGGAUGGACUCGCGGCUUAUCAGCUUGUUGGUGGGGUAGUGGCUUACCAAGGCUUUGACGGGUAGCCGGCCUGAGAGGGUGAUCGGCCACAUUGGGACUGAGAUACGGCCCAGACUCCUACGGGGGGCAGCAGUGGGGAAUAUUGCACAAUGGGCGGAAGCCUGAUGCAGCAACGCCGCGUGCGGGAUGACGGCCUUCGGGUUGUAAACCGCUUUCGCCUGUGACGAAGCGUGAGUGACGGUAAUGGGUAAAGAAGCACCGGCUAACUACGUGCCAGCAGCCGCGGUGAUACGUAGGGUGCGAGCGUUGUCCGGAUUUAUUGGGCGUAAAGGGCUCGUAGGUGGUUGAUCGCGUCGGAAGUGUAAUCUUGGGGCUUAACCCUGAGCGUGCUUUCGAUACGGGUUGACUUGAGGAAGGUAGGGGAGAAUGGAAUUCCUGGUGGAGCGGUGGAAUGCGCAGAUAUCAGGAGGAACACCAGUGGCGAAGGCGGUUCUCUGGGCCUUUCCUGACGCUGAGGAGCGAAAGCGUGGGGAGCGAACAGGCUUAGAUACCCUGGUAGUCCACGCUGUAAACGGUGGGUACUAGGUGUGGGGUCCAUUCCACGGGUUCCGUGCCGUAGCUAACGCUUUAAGUACCCCGCCUGGGGAGUACGGCCGCAAGGCUAAAACUCAAAGGAAUUGACGGGGCCCCGCACAAGCGGCGGAGCAUGCGGAUUAAUUCGAUGCAACGCGUAGAACCUUACCUGGGUUUGACAUGGAUCGGGAGUGCUCAGAGAUGGGUGUGCCUCUUUUGGGGUCGGUUCACAGGUGGUGCAUGGCUGUCGUCAGCUCGUGUCGUGAGAUGUUGGGUUAAGUCCCGCAACGAGCGCAACCCUUGUUCACUGUUGCCAGCACGUUAUGGUGGGGACUCAGUGGAGACCGCCGGGGUCAACUCGGAGGAAGGUGGGGAUGACGUCAAGUCAUCAUGCCCCUUAUGUCCAGGGCUUCACGCAUGCUACAAUGGCUGGUACAGAGAGUGGCGAGCCUGUGAGGGUGAGCGAAUCUCGGAAAGCCGGUCUCAGUUCGGAUUGGGGUCUGCAACUCGACCUCAUGAAGUCGGAGUCGCUAGUAAUCGCAGAUCAGCAACGCUGCGGUGAAUACGUUCCCGGGGCUUGUACACACCGCCCGUCAAGUCAUGAAAGUUGGUAACACCCGAAGCCGGUGGCCUAACCGUUGUGGGGGAGCCGUCGAAGGUGGGACUGGUGAUUAGG
rnacentral:rRNA from 1 species